rnacentral:rRNA from 1 species
AUUGAACGCUGGCGGCAGGCCUAACACAUGCAAGUCGAACGAUUGGCGGACGGGUGAGUAAUUUCUGGGAAACUGCAUGAUGGAUGGGGAUCACUACUGGAAACGGUAGCUAAUACCGCAUACCAUCGGAUUUGCCCAGAUGGGAGUAGCUAGUAGGUGGGGUAAAGGCUCACCUAGUCGACUAUCCCUAGAGGGUCUGAGAGGAUGAACAGCCACACUGGAACUGAGACACGGUCCAGACUCCUACGGGAGGCAGCAGUGGGGAAUAUUGCACAAUGGGCGCAAGCCUGAUGCAGCCAUGCCGCGUGUAUGAAGAAGGCCUUCGGGUUGUAAAGUACUUUCAGCGGGGAGGCUUUACCCGCAGAAGAAGCACCGGCUAACUCCGGGCCAGCAGCCGCGGUAAUUC